UAAUCAAUGGGCAAAGCCGGGCGACUUACCGGAGGCUCGGAAUCUCUCAAUUAGAAGCGACUUUCUUCUCGUGGAAGCCCGGGAAGUGAUCCGAUAGGGCGGCGAUGCCAAGGCGCGGCGGUGGCGGCCACCCUGUCCGGCGGGAGUCGCUGCUUACGAGGGUGAUAGGCGCAGUGUUCGCCUUCGUCCGCCUGGCCGAGUUCGAGAUCCUCUUCUUUCUCUUCUUCUUCAUCGCGUUCCUCAUUUUUAAAGAUCUGACAUCACGGCCUGAGUACAAUCAGAUCUUGGUGAAAAAGCCGGGUAAUGAUGACUCCUGGCCUUAUUAGGAGGACAGCUACUGCUACAGGUUGAUGAUCAGAACAGACCGAGAUUCUGACACCAAUACAUAGUUUCAUCAUAUGAUGCUGCCUUAAAUUAGUGUUUUCUUUUGAGAUUUCUGAUUACUUCUAUUCGAAAUUUUGUUACAUUAAUUUCAUUUUUAGAGAACAUUUUCCUCUUUAUUUCAUACCA